rnacentral:lncRNA from 1 species
CUAAAUUGAAUUUUUAAUAUUAAUUAUUUAAUUUUCGAAAUUAAUAAAUUAAUAAAUUAUUUUUCGGAAAUUAAGAUUUUGAUGGCCGACGACCGAAAUCUCGUGCUGAUCGUCGUGGCGCAGUCCGUUUAUUUAUUUGAGCUCCACGUUGUAUGGAAUUGAGUAAAUUGUGAUAUUUUAGGGAUUUACCCUAAAUUGAUUGGAAUCGAUUGAGAUUGAAUUAUCGAUUGGUGAAUGGCCAAGUAUGUUUAUUCAGCAUUUAUAAUGCUUUGUUGAGUUAAUUUAAUUAUUUGAUUGAG